AAUCAACGCUGGCGGCGUGCCUCAGACAUGCAAGUCGAACGCGAAAGACCCCUUUCGGGGGGUCGAGUAGAGUGGCGCACGGGUGAGUAACACGUGAGUAAUUUACCUCGGGUGGGGAAUAACAACCGGAAACGGUUGCUAAUACCGCAUACUGCAGCGGCAUCCACAGAGAUGACCGCUUGUUAAAGCGGGGGAUCGGAGUAAUCCGACCUCGCGCCGGAAGAGAAGCUCGCGGCGGAUAGCUAGUCGGUGAGGUAACGGCUCACCGAGGCAUCGAUCCGUAGCCGGCCUGAGAGGGCGGUCGGCCACACUGACACUGAACAUACGGGUCAGACUCCUACGGGAGGCAGCAGUCGGGAAUUUUGGGCAAUGGGCGCAAGCCUGACCCAGCAACGCCGCGUGAA
rnacentral:rRNA from 1 species